rnacentral:rRNA from 1 species
UACAGAGGUCCCAAGCGUUGUUCGGAUUCACUGGGCGUAAAGGGUGCGUAGGUGGUUUGUAAAGUCGGAUGUGAAAGUCCAGGGCUUAACCCUGGGAUGCCAUUCGAUACUUGCAGACUAGAGCAUGGUAGGGGGAUCUGGAAUUCCUGGUGUAGCGGUGAAAUGCACAGAUAUCAGGAGGAACACCGAUGGCGAAGGCAGAUCUCUGGGCCAUUACUGACGCUGAGGAGCGAAAGCAUGGGGAGCGAACAGG